UCCUAAAUUAAUUUAUUAAUAUAAUAACAAUAAAAAAUAUUGGAGAAGUUGUCGGAUGAGACAACCCACCAGUUGUUGCGUUGCGGCUCUCUCAAGUCUCAAAGUCUAAAAGACUGAUACACCAAAAAAAAUAUAACCCAAAAAAAAAAAAAAACUCACUACUGUUCUUAAACUAAAAGUAAAAACCGAAAAAGAGAAGGAAAAAAAAAAAAACCCAGUAAACAGCUAAAAACUUAGAGGUAGAGAGAGAGGGGAAAAAAAAAAGAGUGGGAUUAUUGUUUUGUUUUUGUUUGGUUAUGUAUGAUUAUUAUUUUCCUCGUAUAAUGUCUCUAAAUCUCCUGGUUUCCUCCACUUCUUCACUUCCAGGGGGGUUUUGAGUUACUUUUCGGCGUACUACUAGAAACCUUUCUUGUUAAGUAUCUUCUGCAUCAUACAUAGGAAGCUAGAUGGGUUCCAGAUUCCCAUCUCAUCAGCUCAGCAAUGGGCUUUACGUGUCAGGCAGGCCAGAGCAGCCUAAAGAAAGGACUCCGACCAUGAGCUCAGUGGCCAUGCCCUAUACUGGUGGAGAUAUUAAGAAAUCAGGAGAACUAGGGAAAAUGUUUGAUAUCCCUACAGAUGGUUCUAAAUCCAGGAAAUCUGGACCUAUAAGUGGUGCUCCUUCAAGGACUGGAUCUUUCGGGGGUGCUGCUUCACAUUCUGGACCAAUCAUGCCUAAUGCAGCACCUCGGGCUGGCUACACCACAUCAGGUCCUGGUGGCGCUGGAGGCAUGUCUGGUUCAGUCUCAUUGAAGAAGUCAAACUCUGGACCACUAAAUAGACAUGGGGAUCCUGCGAAGAAAUCAUCCGGUCCACAAUCUGGUGGAGUGACACCAAGCGGACGUCAAAAUUCUGGUCCAAUUCCUGUUCUCCCUGCAACUGGCCUUAUUACAUCUGGGCCCAUCUCCUCUGGGCCACUAAAUUCCUCCGGUGCUCCUCGGAAAGUGUCUGGUCCUCUGGAAUCUAUGGGAUCAAUGAAAGUCAAAGGUUCUGCUGUUGUUCAUAAUCAGGCUGUGAAUAUUCUUGGCCAAAACGACGACUUUUCUUUCAAGAGGAACUUCCCCAAGCUAAUAUUAUAUGCACUGAUACUGCUCUUUGUAAUGGGUUUCAUUGCUGGUGGUUUUAUUCUUGGAGCGGUUCACAAUGCCAUUCUCCUCAUCGUUGUUGUGGUUCUUUUUGGUACUGUUGCUGCAUUAUUUGCUUGGAACUCUUGCUAUGGGAGAACAGCUAUUAUGGGUUUCAUUGCUGGUUAUCCAGAUGCAGAGCUUAGAAAUGCAAAAAAUGGGCAAUUCGUGAAAAUCUCUGGGGUGGUAACAUGUGGGAACGUGCCUCUUGAGUCAUCCUUCCAGAAAGUUCCAAGAUGUGUUUAUACAUCAACUAGUUUAUAUGAGUAUCGAGGAUGGGAUUCCAAAGCUGCCAAUCCUAAACAUCGUCGUUUUACCUGGGGACUCCGAUUGUUGGAAAGGCGUGCUGUUGACUUCUACAUCUCCGAUUUCCAGUCUGGGUUGAGAGCAUUAGUAAAAACAGGCAAUGGAGCAGUUGUGACUCCUUAUGUGGACGACUCAAUUGUUAUAGAUGUCAACCCAGCCAACGAAACAUUAUCUCCAGAGUUCAUCAGGUGGUUGGGAGAAAGGAAUCUUUCAAGUGAUGACCGAUUAAUGCGACUGAAAGAAGGGUAUAUCAAGGAAGGAAGCACGGUUAGUGUAAUGGGAGUUGUUCAGAGAAACGACAAUGUCCUUAUGAUUGUUCCUCCGCCUGAACCCAUUGCAACCGGUUGCCAAUGGCCCAAAUGUAUCUUCCCAGCUAGCCUCGAGGGUAUUGUAUUGAGAUGUGAAGACACGUCAAAUAAUGAUGCCAUACCUGUUUAGUAGCAUGUGCAUUGUAAACUUUUUUUUUUUUUCAGCUACAACACUAUAUUUUUUCCCUUGUUAUUCUAUUAAUAUUUUGGGGAUGUGGCGAGGACAAACGAUGAACACGAGAGAGGCAGGCAGCUUCUCUUACCUUUUAAUUCGGUGUAUAGCUUUUUCCAGGUUUCUUUGCAGUUAGUUUUAUGGUGUAGGGUUCAAAUGGUGUUGUCGUGGGGGUUGAUCGGCUUUCGUGCACUUGGGGAUUUUGUGUUUGUCAAGGUUUCAGGGAAAAGAAAAGAAAAACAUUAACAAGGCUCAGUUUGAUCCAUUGAUGGCUUUGGAUUGAAUUUCUUAUCGGUAAUUUGUGUAAAAUAUCAGUGUUUCCUUUUUACCACUUGGAAUUGGGAUGUUCUUUUGAUUGCGUUGCAUUGGUCUGGUUUCAUCAUCAUCAUCAUCAUCAUCAUCAUUAUCACUACUACUUUGGAAGGAGGAGGAAUGUCUUUAUCAAUCAACAUUCGAGCUGUGCAGUUGGUGGGUUCAAUAAGUUUAAAAGAAUAAAAAAUCGAUUUAAUCAAUCUUCCAAAAACUGAGCUGAAUCCUUCAUGGAUUGAUGCUAUAUAUUUCCUUUGGAGAAAAACAGUUUAAUUAUAUAUUUAUAUUAAGUCAACUAAUGUAGUGGAUAAAAUUAAA